rnacentral:rRNA from 1 species
CCAGACUCCUACGGGAGGCAGCAGUGGGGGAUAUUGCACAAUGGGGGAAACCCUGAUGCAGCGACGCCGCGUGAGUGAAGAAGUAUUUCGGUAUGUAAAGCUCUAUCAGCAGGGAAGAAGAUGACAGUACCUGAGUAAGAAGCCCCGGCUAACUACGUGCCAGCAGCCGCGGUAAUACGUAGGGGGCAAGCGUUAUCCGGAUUUACUGGGUGUAAAGGGAGCGUAGACGGCGAUGCAAGCCAGAUGUGAAAGCCCGGGGCUCAACCCCGGGACUGCAUUUGGAACUGUGUGGCUGGAGUGUCGGAGAGGUAAUCGGAAUUCCUUGUGUAGCGGUGAAAUGCGUAGAUAUAAGGAAGAACGCCAGUGGCGAAGGCGGAUUACUGGACGAUAACUGACGGUGAGGCGCGAAAGCGUGGGGAGCAAACAGGAUUAGAUACCCCUGUAACG